UACGGAGGGUGCAAGCGUUAUCCGGAUUCACUGGGUUUAAAGGGUGCGUAGGAGGGCAGGUAAGUCAGUGGUGAAAUCCCCGAGCUUAACUUGGGAACUGCCGUUGAUACUAUCUGUCUUGAAUACCGUGGAGGUGAGCGGAAUAUGUCAUGUAGCGGUGAAAUGCUUAGAUAUGACAUAGAACACCAAUUGCGAAGGCAGCUCGCUACACGAAUAUUGACUCUGAGGCACGAAAGCGUGGGGAUCAAACAGGAUUAGAAACCCCCGUAGUCC
rnacentral:rRNA from 1 species